GAACAGCCGAAUUCCCCAGCACCCGGGAAACGGGGGAACCAUUUAGGGUGAAUUGGCCGCAAUCCUGCCGCCAUAGGGAACCUUCAACCGAAUCCGCAAGCUAACCUCGCAGGCCUUGGAAGGA
rnacentral:sRNA from 1 species